rnacentral:sRNA from 1 species
CGGCCGAUGACGGGAUUGAGAUAAUUUGGGAAAACGACAAUCCGAGACCUAAAGUCCGAAUUACAAGCAACGAGAUCCUCGAUGCAGUGUCGGUACCUGGCAGACACACACGCACCUUGAAUCAAUACCAACCCCCAGGUGCUAUCUACCAUGAUCUUCUCAAUGCUGGUCCCCCGUGUAAUCAACCCUUCGCUGCAGCAAUUCAACGGAUUCGAGAGGCUCUGGACCAAGAACUGGAUAAGAUGAAAACCAAGGGCGACAUAGGCAAGCAUUUUUAGACGGAAAUGAUCUAUCGCCGGUUUUUAGGCUCCUAUAGAGUCCAUCAUGUUGGAGAAAGUGUCCUACCCGCGGCU